rnacentral:misc_RNA from 1 species
AUCUUGAUGAAAAAUGUGGGUUUUCUCCUAUUCUCCCUUUUUUCUACAAAACUAUUAUCUUCUUCUCCAUUUUUCUUGAAAAAAUCUACCAAGAAAUAUAUGAGUAAAAUCAAGAAAAAAAAACACAUUCAUUAGCCUUAGAGUGAUGUCCAUCUUUGUUGACACCAAAAAUCAAGAAAAUCCCACUCCUUAAAAAAUUAAAAACCUACUUAGUAUAUAAAAGGAAGCUUGAAGAACAAAAGGCAAGAAGUAUUUUUUAAAAAAGUUAAGCCAAAA